rnacentral:rRNA from 1 species
GAUGAACGCUGGCGGCGUGCCUAAUACAUGCAAGUCGAGCGAACGGACGAGAAGCUUGCUUCUCUGAUGUUAGCGGCGGACGGGUGAGUAACACGUGGAUAACCUACCUAUAAGACUGGGAUAACUUCGGGAAACCGGAGCUAAUACCGGAUGACAUUUUGAACCGCAUGGUUCAAAAGUGAAAGACGGUCUUGCUGUCACUUAUAGAUGGAUCCGCGCUGCAUUAGCUAGUUGGUAAGGUAACGGCUUACCAAGGCAACGAUGCAUAGCCGACCUGAGAGGGUGAUCGGCCACACUGGAACUGAGACACGGUCCAGACUCAUACGGGAGGCAGCAGUAGGGAAUCUUCCGCAAUGGGCGAAAGCCUGACGGAGCAACGCCGCGUGAGUGAUGAAGGUAUUCGGAUCGUAAAACUCUGUUAUUAGGGAAGAACAUAUGUGUAAGUAACUAUGCACAUCUUGACGGUACCUAAUCAGAAAGCCACGGAUAACUACGUG